CAGAGCGAAGCUAAAGUAGUAAAGCAUCUCCCUUACACCGAGAAGUUAUCUGUGCAAAUCAGAUCGCCCUGA
rnacentral:tRNA from 1 species